CCUACGGGGGGCUGCAGUGGGGAAUAUUGGACAAUGGGCGCAAGCCUGAUCCAGCCAUGCCGCGUGAGUGAUGAAGGCCUUAGGGUUGUAAAGCUCUUUCGCCAGGGACGAUAAUGACGGUACCUGGAUAAGAAGCCCCGGCAAACUUCGUGCCAGCAGCCGCGGUAAUACGAAGGGGGCUAGCGUUGUUCGGAAUCACUGGGCGUAAAGCGCAUGCAGGCGGAUCGUUAAGUCGGGGGUGAAAUCCCGAGGCUCAACCUCGGAACUGCCUCCGAUACUGGCGAUCUUGAGUCCGGAAGAGGUGAGUGGAAUUGCGAGUGUAGAGGUGAAAUUCGUAGAUAUUCGCAAGAACACCAGUGGCGAAGGCGGCUCACUGGUCCGGUACUGACGCUGAGAUGCGAAAGCGUGGGGAGCAAACAGGAUUAGAUACCCCGGUAGUCGU
rnacentral:rRNA from 2 species